CCUACGGGAGGCAGCAGUGGGGAAUAUUGCGCAAUGGAGGCAACUCUGACCCAGCAAUGCCGCGUGAGUGAUGAAGGUAAUUUUAUUGUAAAGCUCUUUCCUUUGGAACGAAUAAAUGACGGUACCAAGGGAAUAAGCCCCGGCUAACUACGUGCAAGCAGACGCGGUAAUACGUAGGGGGCAAGCGCUGUUCGGAAUGACUGGGCGUAAAGGGUGGGAAGGUGGUUUACUAAGUUAGAUGUGUAAUACCCAGGGCUUAACCUGGGUGCUGCAUCUAAAACUGGUAGACUUGAGUACUGGAGAGGAUAGUAGAAUUCCUAGUGUAGCGGUGGAAUGCGUAGAUAUUAGGAGGAACAUCAGAGGCGAAGGCGGCUAUCUGGAAAGGAACUGACACUGAGGCACGAAAGCGUGGGGAGCAAACAGGAUUAGAUACCCGUGUAGUC
rnacentral:rRNA from 1 species